rnacentral:rRNA from 1 species
GACGAACGCUGGCGGCGUGCUUAACACAUGCAAGUCGAACGGAAAGGCCCUGCUUUUGUGGGGUGCUCGAGUGGCGAACGGGUGAGUAACACGUGAGUAACCUGCCCUUGACUUUGGGAUAACUUCAGGAAACUGGGGCUAAUACCGGAUAGGAGCUCCUGCUGCAUGGUGGGGGUUGGAAAGGUUCGGCGGUUGGGGAUGGACUCGCGGCUUAUCAGCUUGUUGGUGGGGUAGUGGCUUACCAAGGCUUUGACGGGUAGCCGGCCUGAGAGGGUGACCGGCCACAUUGGGACUGAGAUACGGCCCAGACUCCUCCGGGAGGCAGCAGUGGGGAAUAGUGCACAAUGGGCGGAAGCCUGAUGCAGCAACGCCGCGUGCGGGAUGACGGCCUUCGGGUUGUAAACCGCUUUCGCCUGUGACGAAGCGUGAGUGACGGUAAUGGGUAAAGAAGCACCGGCUAACUACGUG